rnacentral:rRNA from 1 species
UACGUAGGGGGCGAGCGUUGUCCGAAGUUACUGGGCGUAAAGCGCGCGUAGGCGGUCUCUUAAGUCUGGGGUGAAAGGUUCAGCGCUCAACGUGAACAGUGCCUUGGAUACUGGGGGACUUGAGUUCGGGAGGGGGCAGUGGAAUUCCUGGUGUAGCGGUGAAAUGCGUAGAUAUCAGGAGGAACACCGGUGGCGAAGGCGGCACUCUGGGCCGGUACUGACGCUGAGGAGCGAAAGCGUGGGGAGCGAACAGG